AUGGUCCGCGAGUUGCUGGCCGUGCUGGUGCGCGCGGCGCUGCAGUGGGCGCUGGCGUCGCUGCUCCUCGCCAACGGCGCCGCCUUCUGCCUCAUCGCCGCCGCGGCCUCGUCGCUCCGGCUCGGCCCGCCCUGCCUCCUCUGCGCACGCGUUCACCGCCUGCUCUGCUCCUCCUCCUCCCCUGGCGCCGGUGCCAGCCAAGAACAAGACGCCUUCCGCCGCCUGCUCUGCGGCGCUCACAUCGCCGCCAUCGCGGGCUUAGGCGCAGAAGAAACAGAGCAUCAAGCGUGCUCUGCUUCUCAUGGCGUCGACAGAGGGACCAAAUAUGAUUCAGAUAAACCUCGAGGUCUAGAAUCUCACCGGGUCGUCUCCAUCGGCAGCGAGAUCUGCGAGCAAGAUCGUGGCGGCGACGAUGACCAACCCCGCGCCACCAACCUCAGCGCCCUCGGAAGAACGUCGAGCACCGACAGCGGCGAAGGCCCAUACGUGUCCCUGUUCGAGCUCGCUCCCCUCGUCGCCCUCCCGGAAGACACCCCGGUCACCAGACACGGGACGACGAAGCCGGAGCACGGGAGCGCGCCCUCGAGCGCCGCGGCAGGCGGCGAGCAGGCGCUGACGGUGAGCGGCCUCGUCGCCGCCCUCCGCGCGCAGCGGAGGGAGCUGGAGGCGGCGCGCGCGGAGCUGCACGGCGAGCGGCGCGCCAGGGCGGAGCUGGAGGAGCAGGGCGAGCUGGACCGGGAGGCGGCGCGGGUGGCCAUGCAGCUCGUGCACGAGACGGAGACGGAGAAGCACGAGCUGCAGCGGCAGCUCGACGCGUUCAGGGUCAGGGCCCAGCUCCACGGCCGCGAGGCCGCCGCCGCCUCCUUGGACGCGGACUACUCUGCUUCUGCUCCGGCCAACCGGCUCGGCCGCCGGCUGAGCCGCGACGGUGACGGUGAACUGAUGGAGCAGGAAGACGAGGCGGGCUGGGGCGGGAACAAGAACUACCAGUCGCUGGUGGACUUCCUGCCGGGCUCGGUCUACUCCUCGUCGCCGGACCUGGCCAACCUGCUGAGGCUCUACACGGAAGGCAAUGGCAAUGGCGCUCGUCGGCCGAAAGAGGGUGGUAUCACCGAGGAGGAGGAGGAGAUCGUCGUCGCCGUCACGGCCACAUCUGUUUCCGGUUUCGACGGCCGGGACGGUGAGGAGGCCACUAGCGUUGCUGCUUCUUUGCCAGAAAGUGGUGGCGACCACGUCCGAGCAGAUCUUGCACAGGACGAAGCAGCCGUAAUGCGUGCAUGA
rnacentral:rRNA from 1 species